GUAGUCUCGCACAGACUGCAUAUCAAUAAGCGGAGGAAAAGAAACUAACAAGGAUUCCCCUAGUAACGGCGAGUGAAGCGGGAAGAGCUCAAAUUUGAAAUCUUAAAGGGUUUCCCUUUACGAAUUGUAGUUUAAAGAAGUGUUUUCUGUUGAGGUUUUGGUAAAAGUUCUUUGGAAUAGGACAUCAUAGAGGGUGAGAAUCCCGUAUUUGACCUUUACUUUCAACUUUGUGAUACACUUUCAAAGAGUCGGAUUGUUUGGGAAUGCAGUCCAAAAUGGGUGGUAAAUUUCAUCUAAAGCUAAAUAUUGGCGAGAGACCGAUAGCGAACAAGUACCGUGAGGGAAAGAUGAAAAGAACUUUGAAAAGGAGAGUUAAACAGUACGUGAAAUUGUCAAAAGGGAAGCGUUUGACACCAGUGUUGUUUUUCUGAAAAUCAAUUAAAGAACUGUUUAUGCUAAGUUGUUUAGACUUUAUCAGCUAUCUGUUAGUUUUGAGCUUUUCUUUAAUGCACUUUUCAGUUAACAAGUCAACAUCAAUUUCUUUUGCUGUAAAAAAGCUUGAGGAAGGUGGCUUGAGAUUCGUCUUAAGUGUUUAUAGCCUCUUGCCUAUGCAGUCGGAGAGAUUGAGGUCUGCAGCGUAGAUCCUUCGGGGCUAAAUGCAUUUGUGCUAAGUUAUAGCAUUUUAUAGACAACUUGUUGACUAUGAUUUGUCUUGUAGCUUACUCGCUUAUGUUAUUUUACCUACGCUUAGGAUGUUGACGCAUGAGAUAUACGC
rnacentral:rRNA from 1 species